GCGGAUGUAGCCAAGUGGAUCAAGGCAGUGGAUGGUGAAUCCACC
rnacentral:tRNA from 1 species